rnacentral:rRNA from 1 species
CCCCCCUUAAGUGGGAGAGUUGCCACCGAAUCCCAUAAGAACUCCGGAGUUAAGCGUGCUCGGGUGGGAGUAGUCACCGGAUGGGUGACCUCCCUGGGAAGUCCCAAGGUACGUGUGC